UGGUGGUGUGUAGUGUGGUGGUGGUGUGCGUAGUGGUGUGUGUGGUGGUGUGCGUAGUGGUGUGUGUAGUGGUGGUGUGUGUAGUGGUGGUGUGUGUAGUGGUGGUGGUGUGUAGUGGUGGUGGUGUGUAGUGGUGGUGGUGGUGGUGUGUGUAGUGGUGUGUAGUGGUGGUGGUGGUGUGUAGUGAUGGUGGUUUGUGUAGUGAUGGUGGUGGUGGUGUGUAGUGGUGGUGGUGGUGUGUAGUGGUGGUGGUGGUGGUGUGUGUAGUGAUGGUGGUGUGUGUAGUGAUGGAGGUGGUGGUGUGUGUGGUGGUGUGUAGUGAUGGUGGUGUGUAGUGGUGGUAGUGUGUAGUGGUGGUGGUGGUGGUGUGUAGUGAUGGGUGUAGUGGUGGUGGUGGUGGUGUGUAGUGGUGGUGGUGGUGUUUAGUGGUGGUGGUGGUGUGUAGUGGUGGUGGUUUGUGUAGUGAUGGUGGUGGUGGUGUGUAGUGGUGGUGGUGUGUAGUGGUGGUGGUUUGUGUAGUGAUGGUGGUGGUGGUGUGUAGUGGUGGUGGUGUGUAGUGAUGGUGGUGUGUGUAGUGAUGGAGGUGGUGGUGUGUGUAGUAGUGGUGGUGUGUAGUGGUGGUGGUGUGUAGUGGUGGUGGGGGUGUGUGUAGUGAUGGAGGUGGUGGUGUGUGUAGUGGUGGUGGUGUGUGUAGUGAUGGAGGUGGUGGUGUGUGUAGUGGUGGUGGUGUGUGUAGUGGUGUGCAGUGAUGGUGGUGGUGUGCAGUGAUGGUGGUGGUGUGUAGUGAUGGUGGUGGUGGUGGUGUGUAGUGAUGGUGGUGGGGCGGUGGUGUGUAGUGAUGGUGGUGGUGGUGUGUAGUGAUGGAGGUGUGUAGUGAUGGAGGUGGUGGUGUGUAGAGAUGGAGGUGGUGGUGUGUAGUGGUGGUGGUGUGCAUAGUGGUGUGUGUAGUGGUUGUGGUGUGUGUAGUGGUGGUGUGUAGUGGUGGUGGUGGUGUGCGUAGUGGUGUGUGUGGUGGUGUGCGUAGUGGUGUGUGUAGUGGUGGUGUGUGUAGUGGUGGUGGUGGUGUGUAGUGAUGGUGGUGGUGUGUGUAGUGGUGGUGUGUAGUGGUGUGUGUGGUGGUGUGUAGUGGUGGUGGUGUGCGUAGUGGUGUGUGUGGUGGUGUACGUAGUGGUGUGUGUAGUGGUGGUGGUGUGUGUAGUGGUGGUGGUGGUGGUGUGUAGUGGUGGUGGUGGUGGUGGUGGUGUGUAGUGGUGGUGGUGGUGUGUGUAGUGGUGUGUGUAGUGGUGGUGGUGGUGGUGUGUAGUGGUGGUGGUGGUGGUGGUGUGUAGUGAUGGUGGUUUGUGUAGUGAUGGUGGUGGUGGUGUGUAGUGGUGGUGGUGUGUAGUGAUGGUGGUGUGUGUAGUGAUGGAGGUGGUGGUGUGUGUGGUGGUGUGUAGUGAUGGUGGUGUGUAGUGGUGGUGGUGGUGUGUGUAGUGGUGGUGGUGGUGUGUAGUGAUGGGUGUAGUGGUGGUGGUGGUGGUGUGUAGUGGUGGUGGUGGUGUGUAGUGAUGGUGGUUUGUGUCGUGAUGGUGGUGUGUAGUGGUGGUGGUGUGUAGUGGUGGUGAUGUGUAGUGAUGGUGGUGUGUGUAGUGAUGGAGGUGGUGGUUUGUGUAGUAGUGGUGGUGUGUAGUGAUGGUGGUGUGUAGUGGUGGUGGUUUGUAGUGGUGGUGGGGGUGUGUGUAGUGAUGGAGGUGGUGGUGUGUGUAGUGGUGGUGUGUGUAGUGAUGGAGGUGGUGGUGUGUGUAGUGGUUGGUGGUGUGUGUAGUGGUGGUGGUGUGCAGUGAUGGUGGUGGUGUGCAGUGAUGGUGGUGGUGUGUAGUGAUGGUGGUGGUGGUGGUGUGUAGUGAUGGUGGUGGGGCGGUGGUGUGUAGUGAUGGUGGUGUGUAGUAGUGGUGGUGGUGGUGUGUAGUGAUGGAGGUGUGUAGUGAUGGAGGUGGUGGUGUGUAGUGAUGGAGGUGGUGGUGUGUAGUGGUGGUGGUGUGCAUAGUGGUGUGUGUAGUGGUUGUGGUGUGUGUAGUGGUGGUGGUGUGCAGUGAUGGUGGUGGUGUGCAGUGAUGGUGGUGGUGUGUAGUGAUGGUGGUGGUGGUGGUGUGUAGUGAUGGUGGUGGGGCGGUGGUGUGUAGUGAUGGUGGUGUGUAGUAGUGGUGGUGGUGGUGUGUAAUGAUGGAGGUGUGUAGUGAUGGAGGUGGUGGUGUUAGUCAUGGAGGUGGUGGUGUGUAGUGGUGGUGGUGUGCGUAGUGGUGUGUGUAGUGGUGGUGGUGGUGUGUAGUGGUGGUGGUGGUGGUGUGUGUAGUGGUGUGUGUAGUGGUGGUGUGCGUAGUGGUGGUGUGUGUAGUGGUAGUGGUGGUGGUGGUGUGUAGUGGUGGUGGUGGUGUGUAGUGAUGGUGUGUAGUGAUGUGGUGGUGUGUAGUGGUGGUGUGUAGUGGUGGUGGUGUUGGUGGUGGUGGUGUGUAGUGAUGGUGGUGUGUGUAGUGAUGGUGGUGGUGGUGGUGUGUGUAGUAGUGGUGGUGUGUAGUGAUGGUGGUGUGUAGUGUGGUGGUGGUGUGUGUAGUGAUGGAGGUGGUGGUGUGUAGUGAUGGUGGUGGUGUGUAGUCAUGGUGGUGUUGGUGUGUGUAGUGAUGGUGUUGGUGGUGUGUAGUGGUGGUGUUGGUGUGUUGUGAUGGUGUGUAAUGGUGGUGGAGUGUGUAGUGGUGGUGGUGGUGGUGUGUAGUGGUGGUGGUUGUGUUUAGUGAUGGUGGUGUGUGAAGUGGUGGUGGUGGUGUGUCUAGUGAUGGAGGUGGUGGUGUGUGUAGUGAUGGAGGUGGUGGUGUGUAGUCAUGGUGGUGUUGGUGUGUAUUCAUGGUGGUGUUGGGGUGUAGUGGUGGUGGUGUGUGUAGUGGUGGUGGUGGUGGUGUGUAGUGGUGGUGGUGUGUGUGGUGGUGGUGGUGUGUGUAGUGAUGUUGGUGGUGUGUGUAGUGGUGGUGUGUGUAGUGAUGGUGGUGGUGUGUAGUGGUGGUGGUGGUGUGUAGUGAUGGUGGUGUGUCUAGUGAUGGUGGUGGUGGUGUGUAGUGAUGGUGGUGGUGUGUAGUGAUGGUGGUGGUGUGUGUAGUGGUGGUGGUUGUGUGUGUAGUGGUUGUGUGUGUAGUGAUGGUGGUGGUGUGUUGGUGGUGGUGUGUGUAGUGAUGGUGGUCGUGUGUAGUGGUGGUGGUGGUGGUUUGUAGUGAUGGUGGUGGUGUGUAGUGAUGGUGGUGGUAGUGUGUGUAGUGAUGGUGGUGGUAGUGUGUGUAGUGAUGGUGGUGUGUGUAGUGAUGGUGGUGUGUGUAGUGAUGGUGGUGUGUGUAGUGAUGGUGGUGGUGUGUGUAGUGAUGGUGGUGGUGUGUGUAGUGACGGUGGUGGUGUGUGUAGUGAUGGUGUUGGUGUGUAGUGAUGGUGGUGUGUGUAGUGAUGGUGGUGUGUGUGUAGUGAUGGUGGUGUGUGUGUAGUGAUGGUGGUGUGUGUGUAGUGAUGGUGGUGGUGUGUGUAGUGAUGGUGGUGGUGUGUGUAGUGAUGGUGGUGUGUCUAGUGAUGGUGUUUUUUGUGUAGUGAUGGUGAUGGUGUGUGUAGUGGUGGUGGUGUGUGUAGUGAUGGUGUUUUUUGUGUAGUGAUGGUGGUGGUGUGUAGUGAUGGUGGUGGUGUGUAGUGAUGGUGGUGGUGUGUAGUGAUGGUGGUGUGUGUAGUGAUGGUGGUGGUGUGUAGUGAUGGUGGUGGUGUGUAUUGAUGGUGGUGUGUGUAGUGAUGGUGGUGUGUGUAGUGAUGGUGGUGGAGCUGUUCUAUGAUUUGAAACAGGAGGAACAUGUCCCACCCCUGUCAGAGUUUAAUUGUGGAGAGACGGUGUCAGGGACUUCUGAUUGGAUGAUAUCAUUCUCGUUGGCGAUGAUGUGCUUCACCAGACAGUUGGCUGCUUCAUCUAUAUUCAUAUUCUCCUAGAGAGAGAGAAGGAGAGAGGAGAGAGAAGGAGAGAGAGAGAGCAGAAGAGAGAGAGAUAGAAAGAGAGAGAGAGAGAGCAGAAGAGAGAGAGAGCAGAAGAGAGAGAGAGAGAGAGAGAGAGAGAGAGAGAGAGAGCAGAAGAGAGAGAGAGAGCAGAAGAGAGAGAGAGAGAGAGCACAAGAGAGAGAGAGAGAGAGCAGAAGAGAGAGAGAGAGAGAGCAGAAGAGAGAGAGAGAGCAGAAGAGAGAGAGAGAGCAGAGAGAGAGAGAGAGAGCAGAGAGAGAGAGAGAGAGCAGAAGUGAGAGAGGGAGAGAGAGAGGGAAGAGAGAGAGAGGAAGAGAGAGAAAAAGAGAAAGAGAGAGAGCGGAAGAGAGAGAGAGAGGCAUAAGGGGAGAGGGGGGAAAAUACUGUGAUGAAUUACUGUCCAAGACCACUGCUUACAGUACGUGUGAGUAUGUUGGUUGUGUUUCUGUGUGGCUGUGAGGUGUAUGUUUGUGGCUGUGAGGUGUAUGUUUGUGGCUGUGAGGUGUAUGUUUGUGGCUGUGAGGUGUAUGUUUGUGGCUGAGAGGUGUAUGUUUGUGGCUGAGAG
rnacentral:lncRNA from 1 species